ensembl:lncRNA
CACGAAGUGCCUCCUGGACGAAUUCCACUAAGAAAAUCCACAGCAAGGCCGAGAUAAACUGACAGAGUGGCGGGGGCGCUGUUGAGGCGGGGAACUGGUGGCGCACCGGCAGCGAGGCGAAGAAGAGCACUGACGGCGAUAGGUGAUCGCGAGCAAGGGAAGGUUAGGAGAAUUAGCGCUGCCUGAAAGCAGGAGGAAGAGGGAGAAAACAAAACUAAAGGAUGAAAACAAAACUAGCACGAUCUCGGUGCAGGCAAAACAUGAGCUGUGGAUGGAGCUGAGACAUAAACGAGCACAACACGACGAUCUGACAACAGACAGCACACGAGAGGAGACUAAAUAGAGAAGGAGUGAUUAACAUAAUGCAGAGCAGAUGAUAGUGGCCAAUAACAAAAUAAUAAUGAAACAAGAGGGCGGAGACGAGCACCACGAUGACACAGAAGCACAUGGUUGUGAAGAUGUGUGCAUACAUAUGGGUUCUGAUGCACUACAGCUGUGUUGCCAAACAUACUCACUUGUCCGUUGUGCAGCGUUUGAUGGCCAGAGUGAGGCUCUGUCCCGAGACACUCUAGAGUUACGUGAGACUGAGGAUUGCUCAAUCUUCCACAAUGGACUUCACAUAGGAUGAACUGUUUCCAGCAAGGAUUCAUUAAUUGAUGACUGCACCUUAGAACUCUUCACUAACACUGCCUGCAUCACCUGGGCCACAGAGAAAACAAUGUUACUGCCUGUACAUGGCACAAUUAACCUUUAACCUUACAGCUGAAUCAGUGCAGUAACACUGUUAACUACCUUUGACAUUGUACCAAAUGUUCAUACUGAAUAUACAGAGGAGAACUGGUCCCCAGUGUUUUUUGGUUAGUCUGGUUUCUCCAAAGGUUUUUUUACUCCAGUAUCGGC